GUGCCAGCAGCCGCGGUAAUACGGAGGGUGCAAGCGUUGUCCGGAUUUAUUGGGUUUAAAGGGUGCGUAGGCGGCUUCUUAAGUCAGUGGUGAAAUCCUGCAGCUCAACUGUAGAACAGCCAUUGAUACUGAGAAGCUUGAGUACAGACGAGGUAGGCGGAAUUUAUGGUGUAGCGGUGAAAUGCAUAGAUACCAUAAAGAACACCUAUUGCGAAGGCAGCUUACUAGGCUGUAACUGACGCUGAGGCACGAAAGUGUGGGGAUCAAACAGGAUUAGAUACCCUGGUAGUCC
rnacentral:rRNA from 1 species